rnacentral:lncRNA from 1 species
CUUUUUACUGAGAGCAGGAAGAAAAGAGGUGAGCUCCGGGUGGAAACAAAGAGAGCUCAGGAGGUUUGGGGCUGUUGAAACAGCCUGGGUUUGAGCAGGGCUAUGGCAUACACAAACAGAGAUGUGUAGAAGACGGCUGCAGAAUCAGGACUGGAGCUCCAGCAAGGCCCAGGAUCUCUGCAGUUGACAUGAACACACCUGCACAUGCCCACACCUGCGCCCAGGGCCUCACAUGCAGGAGGACUUCGUAAACUCUGGUACACAGGAAGAAAAUUAUUGCAGGGUCGUUGGACCCAGAAAAGCAUCACGGGCGGAGGAUGUUGAAGCUUCUGACCAGGACAGAGUUCUUCAGUUGAUAGCUGUCCAGAAGUUUCGGCAAGACGUUUGAAGGAACCACAACCCAGUCUAACCAAAGGGGUGGUUGGUGGAAGGUGAAGGAGUCACACACAAGUGGAAACUCCAGCAGAGAUCCAAGAAAGCAGGAGUGAUGCAUUUUCCCCCAUUACGUUUUUUUUUUUUUGGUUUUUGUAUUAAAUAUCCACCCUCCCUCAAACUGUUGAAAGAGUUAAUGUUUUACUUUUGUCCCUACAAUGAAAACAUCACACCAGAGAUAGAAAAGCCAGCUUUCAAAGCACAUGCUGAAAUAACAAAGUUGCUUUUAAAAUGAGUACUUAAGAAAAUGGCCAUUUGCACUGGCGUGGCACCAACGUGGUUACAGCAGUAUUUAUUUUUCUAUGGAAUGUGUGAGCAUGUUGUGGGUUGUAAGUGGAACCCUGGCCAAUCCCAGCCAGGCAUAAAGGAAUCAUUUAGGUUCCCUUCAAAAUCAUUAGAACUAUUAGUCCUGACUUGAAAUGAGUGAAAUGCACAAACUCCUGCCAAAGAGAGAACCAGUGAGUUCUGCUACUUUUGAAAGUCAUCAAAGCCAACUUCUCCAGGAUGAAAUAUUUCAGAGCAGAGUGCCUUCCUGUGCGACUGUGCAAUGUAUAUGCCAGGCUGGGACCUUGGCUGUCUCAUAGUUCUCUACCUUGUUGCACAGAGAAACUGUCAUUAGCCACCAUCCUAGUGUCCAGCAAGUAUGCUUCAUGAGGCAUCAUAAAUACCUGUGUUACCUGGGGGUGAAAGACAUACACACAGGAGGUCAUCCUUCCUGAAUAAGUGAGCCCUCGAUUCCAAAGAGCUCUUCCUGUAUGGGAGGGCAUGACCUCAGCUCUCCACUGUACUGAAGUUGUCCCCCUUUCACAGUAUG